rnacentral:misc_RNA from 1 species
GAUGAAGAACGCAUCGAAAUGCGAUAAGUAAUGUGAAUUGCAGAAUUCAGUGAAUCAUCGAAUCUUUGAACGCACAUUGCGCCCGCCAGUAUUCUGGCGGGCAUGCCUGUUCGAGCGUCAUUACAACCCUCAAGCCCCCCGGCUUGGUGUUGGGGACCGGCCACCGGUGCCCUGCUGCUUCCGCGGCAGGCGCACCCGGCCGCCCCCGAAAUGAAUUGGCGGCCCCGUCGCGGCCUCCCUCUGCGUAGUAGCACACAUCUCGCAGCUGGAGCGCGGCGCGGCCACUGCCGUAAAACGCACCAACUUUUUUUACAGUUGACCUCGAAUCAGGUAGGAAUACCCGCUGAACUUAAGCAUAUCAAUAAGCGGAGGA